rnacentral:rRNA from 1 species
UCGACCUGAGCUCAGGCAA